UGUGUAGUUUAGGUUAUUAAAGAUUAAAUAGGUAUAAUCGUGUGACUGCUAUUAAAGUAUUCUCAGUUUUGGCGUUAUUCAAUAUAUUCUCUAGUUCAUAUCAGUAGUCAAACCUACCGAUGGGGAUCUUUCCAUGUCUUGAUUUGGACAACGGUUGUUUUAUUUCGUUGGACACUUAAAUUCGUGGAUAAAUUCAUCCACAAAAACCACGAAAAUUGAUACCCCACGAAUAAAAGUACUUUCACAGUAAUUUUCUU
rnacentral:lncRNA from 1 species